CAAGAUUCAAGGAUUAUAACCAAUGCUGUUGCUAUUUCAUUGCUACAACUAAGGGCUGAGCUGGGCCAAAAGAUGACCCAUAUCUGGACAGCAGGUAUCCAGGAAUGCAAAUCAAAGCACUCGCAAAGGCACAAUGCCCUCUGGGUGGUAACAGAGAAGCACAGGACGGAAGAUGCUGACCCUCAACUCCCAUUGGAGUCAAUUGCUCAGCAGUAUAUCUCAGGAUGUGGCCUACUGCAUGUUUCUGUUAAUAAAUAAUGACACAUAUUGUGCUAAUC
rnacentral:lncRNA from 1 species